GGCAGGGAGGCGCACGGCGCGCGUUGGGUUUUAAUGUGAAUUUCGCCAGACGGCAUUACACCCCGAAUGACCUCGUUCGACUCGAGGCUCUGCCA